GUGAAUGUGAGAAAUGAGAUGUUUUUUCCAAAUAGAGGUCCUGUGACAUCUAGAUCCACUGGCUUCAGCUCCAUUGUGACAUCCUAACAUGCAUUGUGUUGGUGGUAACUUAUUGACCACUGAACCAUGCUGGAGAAGCUGGUGUGCACUGCAUAGAGGGUUAGGAAGUGUUCUUACAGUUAGGCCUGUUGAAACAUGGGAAUGCAUCCUGGCCUCAAAGCCUUUCACUGCCAGCACUGUGAGAAGUCUUUCAAGUGUGAGAUUUGCUCUUAUACCUUCAUUGAUACAAGCUCCCUGCAGCAGUGUUUCUGAACAUGCACUAAUGAGAGGCCUUGCAAAUGCUGGCUCUGUUCAUAUAGUCGCAUUUAGAAGAAGAGCUUGGACCUUCACAUAUGCUGACAUCACACUGGUGAGGUGUGGUUUUUGCUGCUGUUCUUCUGAGAAACAGUUUCUCCAAAAACACAUUAAGAAACAUCACCUAGGUUCAAGAACUUUCUUAACCAGCUCCCAGCUCACUUUUACCCUCAAAUCACUUCCUGUGGAAAAUUAG
rnacentral:lncRNA from 1 species